rnacentral:rRNA from 1 species
AACGUAGGAGACAAACGUUAUCCGGAGUUACUGGGCGUAAAGGGCGUGUAGGUGGUUUUGUAAGUUCGGCGUGAAAUAUCUCGGCUUAACCGAGGCAGGUCGUCGGAUACUGCAGGACUAGAGGACGGUAGAGGCGUGUGGAAUUCCGGGAGUAGUGGUGAAAUGCGUAGAGAUCCGGAGGAACACCAGUGGCGAAGGCGACACGCUGGGCCGUACCUGACACUGAUGCGCGACAGCAUGGGGAGCAAACAGG